rnacentral:rRNA from 1 species
GUGCCAGCAGCCGCGGUAAUACGAAGGGGGCUAGCGUUGUUCGGAAUUACUGGGCGUAAAGGGCGCGCAGGCGGUCAACCAAGUCAGAUGUGAAAGCCCCGGGCUCAACCUGGGAACUGCAUUUGAGACUGGAUGACUUGAGUUCGGGAGAGGAGAGCGGAAUUCCCAGUGUAGAGGUGAAAUUCGUAGAUAUUGGGAAGAACACCGGUGGCGAAGGCGGCUCUCUGGACCGAUACUGACGCUGAGGCGCGAAAGCGUGGGGAGCAAACAGGAUUAGAUACCCUGGUAGUCC